AUGAGCAAGAGAAAAAAGGAAGAGCGAGAACAUCAGCGCAAGAGGCCACUAAGUGUAACAGAUACAGACCUGAUGGGAAAAGGCAAAGGAAGAGAUGCCCUACCUGCCAUCAGCUAUACAGAUCAACAAAUACCUUUUCGGAACUUGCGUACAAAUCAUCAACCAUUGCAACUCAAGGAACCAUGCAUGUGCAGGUGCCGAAUUUGCAAGGUGUUACGAGGAAAUUCAAAUCAUCAACCAUUGCAACUCAAGGAACCAUCAACUGUACACAGUGCAGUAACUGUGAAGCAAAUUACCAAACAAAGACAAGAAAAUGAAUUAGCAAGAACAGCAAGGAUGAAGGGGAAACUUGUGUUGAAGGGGCAAUUCAACACAAAUACAGCAAGGAUGAAGACAUGGAAUUUUGAGGAGGCAGCUAUAAGAAAACAACAAAUACUGGGCUGGAGAUUGCAAAAAUUAUGCACUUGCCAACGUUGCCACACGUUCAGGGCAAAAUCAAAUUAUCAACCAGCACAAGUCAUGGAAUCAUCAGCUGUAAACAGUGCAAUAAUGGCUGACCAGAUGAUGAAACUAAGACGCCAGGACGAAUUAACAAGAACGGCACGGAUGAAGAGGAAAGCACAAAUUCAACUUAACAAGAGCAGAAAACGUGCCAGAACCAAUAAUGGUGAUAUAGACAGGGUUGACAAUUCUAAUGCCAGUAAGAUAUGGAACUUUGGGGGGCCAACAUGCAUCUGCCAACACUGCCAUGCACUUAUGUGGCAUGGAGAAAAACUACAAUCUUCCAGUAGCACACAACCAUCCUUUGGACAAUGCUGCAAACAAGGGAAGAUUAUCUUGCCGCCAUUUAAAGAACCACCGCCUUACCUUACAAGUUUAUUGACAAGGGGUGGAGGGGAAAUAUCAGCGAACUACCGAAAAAACAUUAGGUCUUACAAUUCCAUGUUUGCGUUCACAUCAAUGGGGGGAAUUUUGGAUAAGAAAAUAAACAAAGGGCGUGGACCUUAUGUUUUCCGACUGAAUGGUCAGAACCGCCACCAGAUAGGAACCCUGCUACCUGAAGAAGGAAAUAAGCCUCGUUUUCAACAGUUGUAUAUUUAUGACACAAAGAAUGAGAUCCAGAAUAGGAUAGAAGCAUCAAGAUCUGGUAAACGUGAUGCCUUACUAGAUGAAAAAAUUGUCAGUGGCCUACUAACCAUGCUCGACAAGAAUAACACAUUGGCACAAUCGUUCCGGAUGGCAAGAGAUAGAUUUAAAGAAAAUGACUACAAUAACUUCACUCUAAGGUUACUCGGCGAUAGGGAUCAAGAUGGGAGGCAACACAACAUGCCAUCAACAUCAGAAGUUGCCGCGUUGAUAGUCAAAGAUCCAACCCAAAGAUAUGGACGUGACAUUGUUCUUGAGUACAAAGAUAAGAAACCUAAAAGGAUAUCAGAAAUUCAUCCAAAAUUCAUGGCCAUGCAAUACCCGUUGCUCUUCCCAUAUGGAGAAGAUGGUUAUAGACUUGGAAUAAAAUACAACAAAAGGAAAGGUUUAAGUAACAAGAAAUACAUCAGCAUGCUGGAAUACUAUGCAUAUCACUUCCAACAGCGCCCAGGCCAGUCGAUGUUAAUGCUAACGUGUGGAAAUCUGUCAAUGCAGUUUGUGGUUGAUGUCUUCACAUGCAUCGAACAUAAUAGGCUCCACUGGAUCAGAGAAAAUCAAGGAAUUUUACGAACGGAACUUUAUGACGGACUACAGGAUGCAUUCAGAAAAGGAGACACACGGACAGAACAAGUAGGCAGGCGAAUAGUACUCCCAGCAAGUUUUACAGGAAGUCCUCGAAACAAAGAGCAAAACUACCAAGAUAUGAUGGCAAUAUGCCGUUGGGCUGGACAACCCCAAUUGUUCAUAACAUUCACAUGCAACCCUAAUUGGCCAGAGAUUCGGUUGAUGCUAAAUGAAGCUGGGAACCAGAAGCCAGCAGAACGUCCUGAUAUUGUAGUUCGAGUGUUCAUGAUAAAAUUGAAAGAGCUAAUGUCUGAUAUUAGCAGAAAACAGCAUUUUGGAAAGACUAAAGCAUCCGUCUACACAAUAGAAUUUCAAAAGAGAGGACUCCCACAUGCCCAUAUUCUAAUUUUCCUUGAAAACGGACAAAAAAGUCUCAACCCCUCACAAAUUGAUGAAAUAAUAUGCGCUGAGAUCCCGGACAAUGACAAGGAUCCAGAAACAUUCAAAGCUGUCAAGAAUUUUAUGAUGCACGGACCGUGUGGAGAGGCAAAUCCAAAGUCCCCGUGCAUGGAGAAAUAUAUGUGCACCAAGCGUUUUCCAAAAAUAUUUUCUGAAGAGACGAUCGUAGAUGAAGAUCAUUUCCCACGAUACAGGAGACGAGACAAUGGGCGACAAAUAGAUAAGGGAGGAGUCAAAAUGAACAAUGGUUUUGUUGUACCAUACAACAAAGAUCUGCUGGUGAAAUUCCAAGCGCACAUAAAUGUGGAGUGGUGUAAUAAAUGCAUGUCAAUCAAGUACCUCUUUAAGGACAUACACAAAGGAGAUGACCAAGCAACAGCACUGGUUCAAGAAAAAGUACCAUCAAAGACUGAUGAUGAGAUUAAAAUGUACCUAAGAUGUAGAUACAUAACAGCGACUGAAGCAUGCUGGCGAAUAUUCAAAUUCCCUCUGCAAUACCAAGAACCAUCUGUUGAGAGGCUAACGUUUCACCAGGAGAACAAGCAACUAGUAAUUUUUCCUGACUCCAGAAACCUAGAUGAAAUCAUUAGACACCCAAGAUCAGGUGUCACUAUGUUUACCGAGUGGAUGGAGACGAACAAAAAGCAUGAAGAUGCCAGAGAAUUAACAUAUUCAGAGUUUCCUACAAAAUGGACAUGGAAUCACACAAAAAAGAAGUGGACACGGAGAAGAGGAGGAAAGAAAAUUGGCAGGAUCUACAAUGCACAUCCUGCAAGUGGAGAAAGGUACUAUCUUAGAGUUCUCCUCAACACUGCGAAGGGUUGCAUGACAUUUGAAGACAUCAGGACAGUCAACGGAAUUGUGCACUCAUCAUACAAAUCAGCAUGUCGUGCGCUAGGAUUUCUGAACGAUGACAAUGAGUGGAUUGAAUGCAUCAAGGAAGCAUCCAACUGGGCAUCUGGGGUGCAACUACGACAAUUGUUUGCAACUAUACUGUGCCACUGUGAGGUUACUGACCCAAGGAUGUUAUGGGAAUCCAACUGGGAGGUACUCUCUAAAGACAUACAGCAUACACCAAGCUGGAUCUUGGACUUUCCAGCCCCCUUCAGUCCUUCACACAAAAGGGAAUGCAGUUUAAUGGAAAUUGAGAAGCAAAUGGGACAAGCUGGAAAAUCACUAAAGGAAUACCCUGGCAUAGAGCUACCAAAUAUGCCCGAGUUACAUGAAAUUGAGAAAAGGCUUAUAAAUGAAGAGAUGAACUAUGACAAAGACAAAUUGAAGGGUGAGCACGUGCAAAUACUAAAGAAUCUAAAUUUUGAUCAGAAGAAGGCCUUUGAUGCAAUAAUAGAAUCAGCUGAUCAAUCAUUAGGGAGAAUAAUAUUUGUAGAUGGCCAUGGUGGGACAGGUAAGACAUACCUUUGGAAAGCUAUCACAACAAGGCUAAGAUCAGAGGGGAAAAUCGUACUUGCAGUUGCAUCUUCUGGCGUCGCAGCACUUCUGCUUCAAGGAGGUAGAACAGCACACUCAACGUUCAAUAUUCCAAUCAAUCUGACAGAUCAAUCAACAUGCUACAUCAAACAAGGUUCAGAUGUGGCGGAUUUAUUAAUGAGGACGUCACUAAUACUGUGGGAUGAAGCUCCAAUGGCAAACAAACAAUGCUUUGAGGCACUUGACAAGAGCCUAAGGGACGUGCUGAGGUUCACAAAUGAGAAUAGUUGUGCCAAGCCCUUUGGCGGCAUGACGGUUGUUCUUGGAGGGGACUUCCGACAAAUCCUCCCUGUUGUGCCAAAAGGAGGACGGGAGCACAUUAUAGAUGCAUCAAUCAAAUGUUCAUACCUCUGGCAAUAUUUUGAGGUAUUUAAUCUGACAAAAAAUAUGCGGCUCAAAUCUCUAUCCAGUGAUCAAGCAGAGCAGCAGAAGACUGCGGAAUUUGCGGAGUGGAUACUACAGAUUGGCAAUGGAGACACAUGUUUACUAGAUAAAAAGGACUAUCUAAGUAUCCCCAGUGACCUGCUGCUAGAAAAUAGAGAUGACCCAAAAACAAAAAUCAUCCAAAGUACCUAUCCUGACCUGCAAGACAAUCUCUGCAAACACGAGUUCCUGAAAGAAAGGGCGAUACUGUGUCCAUUGAACGAGACAGUCAAUGAGAUCAAUGAGUAUAUUAUGAGUCAAAUCCAAGGUGACAAGGUGACGUACCUGAGCCAUGACAGUGUGAGCACAUCGAUGAAUUACAGCCAUGAAAUGGAAUUGUUGUAUACUACAGAGUUUCUAAACAAGUUAAAGCACCCGGGAUGUCCAAAUCACCUACUUGAGCUCAAAGUUGGUCUGCCAGUGAUGCUUCUCCGCAACAUCAAUCAAAGUGCAGGGCUAUGCAACGGUACUAGAAUGGUAAUCACAAAACUUGGAGAAAGAGUCAUCGAAACGCAGAUCAUAACUGGAGCACACGUCGGUACUAAGGUGUGCAUCCCUCAGAUCAUCAUGUUGCCAUUCGAGCCUAAAUGGCCGUUUGUUCUAAAAAGAAAGCAAUAUCCUCUCUCCGUGUGCUUCGCGAUGACAAUCCACAAGAGCCAGGGACAGUCUUUGAACAAGGUCGGCCUCUACUUGCCCAGGCAAGUUUUUGCUCAUGGGCAACUCUAUGUGGCAGUCUCCAGAGUAACAAACAGGCAUGGCCUGAAGAUCCUGAUCACUGACGACGAAGAACACGCAAGCAAAGGAAAGGCGAAAAACAUAGUGUACAAGGAGAUCUUCUAA
rnacentral:rRNA from 1 species